rnacentral:tRNA from 1 species
GCAUUAGUAGCUUAAACAGAGCAUCGGCCUUGUAAGCCGGGUGAUGGGAGUUAAAGUCCCCCCUACUGCU